GACGAACGCUGGCGGCGUGCCUAACACAUGCAAGUCGAGCGGGGUUGAAGCGAGAGGUAACUCGAGCUUCUACCUAGCGGCGGACGGGUGAGUAACGCGUGGGCAACCUGCCUCAAGGUUUGGGAUAACAGCCCGAAAGGGCUGCUAAUACCGGAUAUGCCUAUGGCCUCGCAUGGGGCUAUGAGCAAAGGGGAAACCCGCCUUGAGAUGGGCCCGCGUCCCAUCAGCUAGUUGGUGAGGUAACAGCUCACCAAGGCGACGACGGGUAGCCGGCCUGAGAGGGUGACCGGCCACACUGGGACUGAGACACGGCCCAGACUCCUACGGGGGCAGCAGUGGGGGAUCUUGCACAAUGGGCGAAAGCCUGAUGCAGCGACGCCGCGUGAGCGAAGAAGGCCUUCGGUUGUAAAGCUCUGUCUGGAGGGACGAACAAAUAGACGGUACCUCCGGAGGAAGCCACGGCUAACUACGUGCCAGCAGCCGCGGUAAAGUCGUCUCUA
rnacentral:rRNA from 1 species